UACGUAGGGUGCAAGCGUUGUCCGGAAUUAUUGGGCGUAAAGAGCUCGUAGGCGGUUUGUCACGUCGGAUGUGAAACCCUGAGGCUCAACCUCAGGCCUGCAUUCGAUACGGGCAGGCUAGAAUUCGGCAGGGGAGACUGGAAUUCCUGGUGUAGCGGUGAAAUGCGCAGAUAUCAGGAGGAACACCGGUGGCGAAGGCGGGUCUCUGGGCCGAUACUGACGCUGAGGAGCGAAAGCGUGGGGAGCGAACAGG
rnacentral:rRNA from 1 species